AUUGAACGCUGGCGGCAUGCCUUACACAUGCAAGUCGAACGGCAGCACGGGAGCAAUCCUGGUGGCGAGUGGCGAACGGGUGAGUAAUAUAUCGGAACGUGCCCAGUCGUGGGGGAUAACGCAGCGAAAGCUGUGCUAAUACCGCAUACGAUCUAUGGAUGAAAGCGGGGGAUCGCAAGACCUCGCGCGAUUGGAGCGGCCGAUAUCAGAUUAGCUAGUUGGUGAGGUAAAGGCUCACCAAGGCGACGAUCUGUAGCUGGUCUGAGAGGACGACCAGCCAGACUGGAACUGAGCCACGGUCCAGACUCCUACGGGAGGCAGCAGUGGGGAAUUUUGGACAAUGGGCGAAAGCCUGAUCCAGGAAUGCCGCGUGCAGGAUGAAGGCCUUCGGGUUGUAAACUGCUUUUGUACGGAACGAAGCGGUGAGCUCUAAUACAGUUUGCUAAUGACGGUACCGUAAGAAUAAGCACCGGCUAACUACGUGCCAGCCGCCGCAGUAA
rnacentral:rRNA from 1 species